rnacentral:rRNA from 1 species
CCUACGGGAGGCAGCAGUAGGGAAUUUUCCACAAUGGGCGAAAGCCUGAUGGAGCAACGCCGCGUGGGUGAAGAAGGUCUUCGGAUCGUAAAACCCUGUUGUUAGAGAAGAAAGUGCGUGAGAGUAACUGUUCACGUUUCGACGGUAUCUAACCAGAAAGCCACGGCUAACUACGUGCCAGCAGCCGCGGUAAUCCGUAGGUGGCAAGCGUUAUCCGGAUUUAUUGGGCGUAAAGGGAACGCAGGCGGUCUUUUAAGUCUGAUGUGAAAGCCUUCGGCUUAACCGGAGUAGUGCAUUGGAAACUGGGAGACGUGAGUGCAGAAGAGGAGAGUGGAACUCCAUGUGUAGCGGUGAAAUGCGUAGAUAUAUGGAAGAACACCAGUGGCGAAAGCGGCUCUCUGGUCUGUAACUGACGCUGAGGUUCGAAAGCGUGGGUAGCAAACAGGAUUAGAUACCCUGGUAGUC